rnacentral:rRNA from 1 species
CGAAGAACCUUACCAAGGCCUUGACAUUACACGAGAACGGGCCAGAAAUGGUCAACUCUUUGGACACUCGUGAACAGGUGGUGCAUGGUUGUCGUCAGCUCGUGUCGUGAGAUGUUGGGUUAAGUCCCGCAACGAGCGCAACCCUCGUUCUAUGUUGCCAGCACGUAAUGGUGGGAACUCAUGGGAUACUGCCGGGGUCAACUCGGAGGAAGGUGGGGAUGACGUCAAAUCAUCAUGCCCCUUAUGUCUUGGGCUUCACGCAUGCUACAAUGGCCGGUACAAUGGGCUGCGAUACCGUAAGGUGGAGCGAAUCCCAAAAAGCCGGUCCCAGUUCGGAUUGAGGUCUGCAACUCGACCUCAUGAAGUCGGAGUCGCUAGUAAUCGCAGAUCCAGCAACGCUGCGGUGAAUACGUUCCCGGGUCUUGUACACACCGCCCGUCAAGUCAUGAAAGUCGGUAACACCCGAAGCCGGCGAGAGUUGACUGCUGUGCGACCGAGCCAGAAAAG